GUCUCUGCCUGUGGAGGCUUCCCACCAUCCGCACCGAGCUAAACCAGAGCCUCGAGACCGGGCGAGGCGGAGGAAAACGGCUUUUCAUCGGCCCCACCAAGCUCAGACGCCACCAGCUUUGGCCAGCCUCGUGCCCGCCCCAGUUCGACUAUCCCAGCCCAUCAGCUUCACUUCUCUAAGAUCUCUCAGAAUAAUAGAUGCUGGCCUGAGGAGUGGAAGGAAAGCCAUGGAGGAAGAGAAGAGAAGGAAAGGGAAGCACCAGAGAAAAAAUAGGCAAUAGUAUUUCAGCAGAAAAUGCUUAGCUUUAUUCACCACAAUAUUUAGUUGUAUAAGGAGAGAAGAUAAAGAAAAUUCCAUCCUACAAACCUGCCAUUAUGUCUCUUCCCAAUGAAAGAGUGGCUGUUGCUACAUAUUAUGGUCCUAA